GUAAUUGACGAAGCCCUUUGUGGGGGCUAUCCCAUGAUGCUCUGCCUGCCACAGGCUUCCUUAGCCUGCCUCAGUAUCCAUCUUGCUAUCCUGGGGGCCUCAUCACAGUUGCGGUUUGUUAAAUAAGAGAUAUCCUGUUCUCCCAGCAGGAACUGAGGGCAGUUUCAGAACCCCUUACUGUUUGCUGUGGGGUUUGAAUGAGAAAUACCCACCCGGCCCCCACAGUCUUGGGUAUUUAAACCCUCGGUCACCAGUUGGUAGUGCUGUUUAGAGAUAUUUAAGGUGCUCCUCUCUAGAGGAAGCUUGUCGCUGGAGGUGGGCUUUGAAAUUUGACACUUUGUAUUACUUCCGGGGUCAUUCUCUCUGCCUUGUGCUUAAGGUCCAGGGUGCAAACUCUCUUGGCUUUCUCCUCAGCAGCUAUGCUUGCCGCUAUAACAUCUAGUCCUGAUGGAUUCAUGCCCCGGGCAUCAUAAACCCACAAGAAACCCUUCUUUCUCUAAGUUGUCUUGAUCAUGGUAUUUUAUCUCAAGACCAGAAAAGUAAUUAAAUAAAAACAUUAGCUAAACAGCCUUUCAGUGUGGGCUGGUGGGAUCUGACAUAAUGCAUGGGUGCCCCACUCCACCAUAACGAGUGGUUUUCUUCCACUAAAAGCACAUGAUAGUGAGAUGUUUUUUUUAAAAAAGCCAGGACUACAAAAUACUGGAUCCGAAUUGACAGCACACCGGCAGCCCAGCAGCUCCGUCUUCUUCCCCACGUGUGGCUGUCGAUUGGCGGUUUUUUUCUCCCUAAUUACCCAUCUGCUAGAGAGGAAAGUAACACCACAUCAUUUAGAAGAAAUGCACCUGUUUAUCGAAAGGCAAGAAUAACCUAGUUUGCAAGGAUCCUUGGCUCUCCAACUUGCCUCCACAGACUCAAUAUCACUGCUGUUUUUCCAGGUGAUCAAAUGACUCUGACUCCAGACUUUCCAAAUCCGUCGUUCAACCUUCAUCUAUCAUUCCCUGCACGUGCUUUACAGCACGAGAGAGGGUUAUAUCACUGAGCAGGCCAGUUCUUCCUUUGAAGUUCUGAGUGUGAACCAGAGCCAUCUUUGUAUUUACUUAGAGAACCGAGGGAGGCCGAAACCCACAGAAGCUGGAGAAACUUUUGAUAUGCGCUGUCAUCAGGAAAGAAACUCUUUCAGGUCUGGUUCCACCACAUCCUGCAAAGUUCAAAACGACAUCGUGCGAAGUUCAAAACGAAUUCUACUUCAGUCUUAUCUCUAGCCUAAGAUACGUAAUUGUAAUUCAUCAAAAAAUAUCAACGGAGUUCUUGAUUGCCAGAAAGCCGUGACUCCUCUGCUGGGGAAGUGUAGGAAUUUUUGCACUUUGCAUCCUACUGAAAUUCUAAGCAGCUUUUGCUGCCACCGUUAAGUGAGGGUCACUUCCUACCUGGAGAACCAGAAAGAUUGGAAACGUCUUGAGGCAGCCGCCUACGCCCAGUUCUCAGUGUUGUGAUGAUGCAGGCAUCGUCAGCAGAGAUCACAUGAGGAUUCAGGCACCAAAGGUGUCUGGUUUUGAUUCUCCUGGGAUGAGCUCACAUGUGUCAUGAGGGCAAAGAAGACUUUAUCAUUUUCAUAUGUCACCAUCAUCAACCGAAACAGGGUCCAGCAGAGGACAGAAGUCCAACUAAAUUUGUUAAGUAAAUAAAAGUAUGUAACAAUGAAA
rnacentral:sRNA from 1 species